UACGUAGGGGGCUAGCGUUGUCCGGAAUCAUUGGGCGUAAAGCGCGUGUAGGCGGUUCGGUAAGUCCGCUGUGAAAGUCGGGGGCUCAACCCUCGAAGGCCGGUGGAUACUGUCGGACUAGAGUGCGGAAGAGGCGAGUGGAAUUCCAGGUGUAGCGGUGAAAUGCGUAGAUAUCUGGAGGAAUACCGGUGGCGAAAGCGCUCUGCUAGGCCGCAACUGACACUGAGGGACGAAAGCUAGGGGAGCGAAUGGG
rnacentral:rRNA from 1 species